GCUUUCCUAUAGCUCAGUUGGCAGAGCAUUACGCUAACAAUGCAAAGGUUGUGGGUUCAAAUCCUGUGGAAAGUG